CACUUGCAGGGGCGCAAGCCUGACCGCAAUGCCGCGUGCAGGAUGAAGGCCUUCGGGUUGUAAACUGCUUUUGUACGGAGCGAAAAGGCUUCCACUAAUACUGGGGGCUCAUGACGGUACCGUAAGAAUAAGCACCGGCUAACUACGUGCCAGCAGCCGCGGUAAUACGUAGGGUGCAAGCGUUAAUCGGAAUUACUGGGCGUAAAGCAUGCGCAGGCGGUUAUGUAAGACAGAUGUGAAAUCCCCGGGCUUAACCUGGGAACUGCAUUUGUGACUGCAUAGCUAGAGUACGGUAGAGGGGGAUGGAAUUCCGCGUGUAGCAGUGAAAUGCGUAGAUAUGCGGAGGAACACCGAUGGCGAAGGCAAUCCCCUGGACCUGUACUGACGCUCAUGCACGAAAG
rnacentral:rRNA from 1 species